UAAGAGGAAUGCCGAAAGUUGAGGCGAUGA
rnacentral:piRNA from 1 species